ACCGUCCAUUUCUUUCAAUUUUUCACACGGAUCACAAUCUGGACGGCUGAUAUUCACUUCACACGGAUCGCCCUUUCCAUUCCCUCCUCUCUCACAUCUCACAUAACUUUAUCAGACUUUAUCCUCUCUUUCUCUCUCUUUCUCUCAGAUCUAGAUUAGAAGUGUUUGAACCAACGGUGGAGGAGACUAGGGUUUCGUCGUCCAUGAUGAAAGAUGUCUGGAGUGCUGAUGCUUUGAGAUGAAAUAAGAUGAUGAACAACCGGAGAUGAAGAACAAACAUCAAUGAAAUUGAAAACACACAGGGUUGAACACCGAUUUGAAGAAACCCUAACUGAAGGUUUCGUUCGGUCAUCUCUGUUGUGGUUUCUUUCAGCUUUCUUCCACAUCAACGAUUAGCAAACACAAAGAUGUGGUGGUAGCCGGCUAUUGUAGAUUUGAUUGAAGAGGCGGUGGACGCUGAGAUGGAACUUCAUUAAGUACAUAGAAGGGAAACAUGGCCAACCCAAUGGAAGGAAAUCCUGCAACUCUGUUGGACUUUUGUAGCUAAGCAAAUGGACCUACAUUUGAAUUUGAGGUCUUGAAACAAAAGCAUGCUUCAGUAUCAUACAAAAGCUUAGUUUAUCUUUAUUUAGUACAACACACUAUCAUAUGUUAUUAGUAUAGUGAUGCUAAUUUUGCAACUAAUAUAUCUUAUUUGGCGAACCUUACAUUUGAAAUUGCACCAUUGUUCAACAGGUCAACUGAAUGAAGUUUUAAUAAACAUAACCAAAGAUUUGUAUUUAAAUGCUUGCGACAAUCCUAAUAUCAUUUCCCUAUAUGGACAUGCCAGGUGGUUUGGGUAACAUGUCAGGUGGUUUGGCCUAUAAACAAUAUUUUGUUCAUUUUAAAAUUGUAUAAAUGAUUACAGUUCAAAAUUAUUUAUGAAAACUAGAUCAUUACAAAUUUAAAAUAAUAACAUGAACUUUUGUCUUAUAACAAUUUAGAAGGUUUUAUGCGUUUGGGCAUGUGUCGGGUAGCUUUUGCAUGCUUUGACCGGUUAAAUUUUAAGCUAAGUUUUUAGUCUAGCCCAUUUUAUCUAUCAGAUUUAGAACAUAAUUCAGUACCCAUUUAUUUUAAUGGCUUGAAAUUGCUAAACUCUGUUGACUGGACAUUAUCUUCAACGAUGCAUGUGAUAGCACCAUCCCAAUGGAAAAUAUACAGAUGUCACAAUGGAUUUCGCUUAUUAAAGGAGCAAAAGAUAAUAAUUCAAGUGAUAGGGAGUUGCUAGAACUUUUUGGAAUGUCGGUUUUAAAAGCAAGUGGGUAGACUAAAGCUUUUUGUGCACAAUCAAACAAAGAAGGUCAUGUUGAUGCUUGCAUCACCUAUGAUAGGGAUGUGUUUUAGUUCGGUGACAAAUGUAUCAUUAAGCGCCUCAAACCCAGCUCAUAGGUAAUGUCAUAACCAUCGUAUUAAUCAAGUUUUGUUUUGUUCUUGAUCUUUCUCACAUUUAAGAUGGACGGGUUGGGGUAAUGGGUUAAAACGGGCCCCUUUAAUGGAACUGUUGAAAUGGGCUGGGUUAGUAGACUUCUUUCCCCUUUUUGCUAAUUUCUUUCAUGAUCUUGCUCCACAUGUAAUAGAGGUGGUAAGAUGGGCGGGUUGGGUAAUGGGUCAAAAAGUUGUUUUACUAACCGAUGAAACUUGAAAGGGGCUGGUCAGGUUGGCUCUUUUUCUCUGUUAAAAGGGUGUUUUUACGUCAAUGGCCAAAACGGCUUAUAAGUCGGUUCAAAGACGAGUUCUAAAGAUUUUUGACGCUUUAAAACAUGCUUGAAGAUUAGUGUGUGUUUUUUUUUAAAUUUAUGUGGGACAGUUUGUUGCAGCUUGAAACUUAUAGAAAAGUAAAAGAUUUAACUUUACAAGCGGACCAUUCGGCCCUUUGAUGUCGCUUCAAAUUCCUGCUCAUAGGCAUAAUAUUUAUCUCACUGUAUUAACUUGUGUCUUCAAUCAACUGUAUAUCUUCUUUAUAAUAGUUAAUAAUAUAAAAAUCUGAACAGAGCUAUGUAAUGGCAAACGUUGGUAUUAGGGAGUAUAAUCAUCAUAUUAUGAGAUAUAGAUUACCAAACCAGUUCCCAUUUCAGCGUUCUUAAACUUAUGAAAGUCCUUGACGUCGACUAUUUAAAGUAUAUAAAGGCGACAGUCUGGUGCAUCUGGGCGAGUCGUAAUAAUGGGGUGUUCGAUCGGAAGAGGAGCUCGCUAGAUAGUGGUGGAGGUAAAAGUGUUUAGCUUCUUAUAGGUAAAACAUCGGGAAAGUGUUAUACUUCAUGAUUUGGUACCUUAUUAAACUCACAUCAAACUGCAGCCGCAGCGAGCGCAACCGUAGCGAGUAUAAUCCUUUACUGAUGGUUUGGGAAUGAGAGAACGAGAAUAGGAAUGCUAGAACGUGUUUGUUUGGGUGGAUGACGGCGUCAUUAUGAUCUUUUUUUUGGCUUUUUGCACUGGUUGUGGAUGUGUGAGAGUGUAACUCUUCAUGGUUCAAUUGUUAUUAAUGUUUGAAGUUCAUAUGUUCACAUGAAUG